CCCUUAGAUGUUCUGGGCUGCACGCGCGCUACACUGAAGCGUUCAACGAGUAUUCACCUUGCCCGGGAGGGUUGGGUAAUCUUUUCAAAACGCUUCGUGAUGGGGAUAGAUUAUUGCAAUUAUUAAUCUUCAACGAGGAAUUCCUAGUAAGCGCGAGUCAUCAGCUCGUGCCGAUUACGUCCCUGCCCUUUGUACACACCGCCCGUCGCUCCUACCGAUUGGGUGAUCCGGUGAAUAAUUCGGACUGCAGCAGGCCUGGUCUCCGGGUUUUGCAGCGGAAAGUUUAGUGAACCUUAUCACUUAGAGGAAGGAGAAGUCGUAACA
rnacentral:rRNA from 1 species